GACGAACGCUGGCGGCGUGCUUAACACAUGCAAGUCGAACGGAAAGGCCCUUCUCGCGGGGUACUCGAGUGGCGAACGGGUGAGUAACACGUGAGUAACCUGCCCUUCACUUUGGGAUAAGUCUAGGAAACUGGGGCUAAUACCGGAUAGGAGCUCCUGCUGCAUGGAGGGGGUUGGAGUGUUUGCGGUGUAGGAUGGGCUCGCGGCUUAUCAGCUUGUUGGUGGGGUAAUGGCGUACCAAGGCGCCGACGGGUAGCCGGCCUGAGAGGGUGGGCGGCCACAUUGGGACUGAGAUACGGCCCAGACUCCUACGGGAGGCAGCAGUGGGGAAUAUUGCACAAUGGGUGGAAGCCUGAUGCAGCGACGCCGCGUGGGGGAUGACGGCCUUCGGGUUGUAAACCGCUUUCGCUCAGGACGAAGCUUUGUGUGACGGUAGUUAGUUAAGAAGCACCGGCUAACUACGUG
rnacentral:rRNA from 1 species